GAGGUGUUCUUUGGUCCAAGGGAUCAGACGGUCAAAGAAGGAGAGGAAGCCUCCUUCCGCUGCGUGUCUGGCGAAAGCUCGUCACCCGCCGCCAUCCUGUGGAUCAAAGAUGGCAGCGUUCUCACCACAGGGAGGCAAAGCCAGGGAGAAUACGGAGGCGGGCGUCAGAGGAAGACGUCAGGAACGCUUCGUCUGGUCAACGUGAGCGCUGAAGACGGUGGCGUGUACGUGUGCCAGACCGUCAACCCUUCGCUCAACAUCAGCCGGAGGAGCAAGCCAGCCAAGCUCACCGUGCUCGCCGCCCCUUUGGUGACCUUGCGGCCCUCCGCCUUAACCGUAGCCUUGGGGGGCCGAGCGUCCCUGCAUUGCGAGGCGUCGGGCGAGCCCCCGCCAUCCAUCAGCUGGCUGAAGAGAGGCCACUCCAAGCAGACGGGGGCCAAGAUGAC